AUGUUUCGACUUUGCGUUCGAUCUUUGGAACGAUCUUCAAGAAAGAUUCACCAAAGGAUGAACUUGAGGAUAUUCGACCAACACGUGCUUGCUCUUGGCCUAUUCCAUGCACCUGCAAUUUGGUCAAAGUUGUACUCCAUUACAAACAUAUGGAAUAUGAAAGACAAUCACAACAAAAAAGUUGAAUCAUCUUCACCCAAGAAUAAUCGCAUAAUUUCAAGUAUUAUAAAAACAGAAUGUGUCUACGAAGAGGAGGAUUGA